GACGAACGCUGGCGGCGUGCUUAACACAUGCAAGUCGAACGGAAAGGCCUGCUUUCCCUUGUGGAUUGCGGGUACUCGAGUGGCGAACGGGUGAGUAACACGUGAGUGAUCUGCCCCCAACUUGGGUAUAAGCCUGGGAAACUGGGUCUAAUUCCCGAUAGGACUGCAGGGUGGUGCCUGUGGUGGAAAACGAUUUUCUAGUGGUUGGGGAUGAGCUCGCGGCCUAUCAGCUUGUUGGUGGGGUAAUGGCCUACCAAGGCGGCAUCGGGUAGGCGGCCUGGGAGGGUGGACGGGCGCAUUGGGACGGAGAUACGGCCCAGACGCCUACGGGAGGAAGCAGUGGGGAAGAAGGAACAAGGGGCGGAAGCCUGAUGCAGGGACGCUGCGUGAGGAAUGACGGGCGUGGGGUGGUAAACUCCUUGCGACCGAGAGCAAGCCACUUGGUUGGAAGGGUGGUGACGGUAGUGGUAGAAGAAGCACCGGCUAACUACGUG
rnacentral:rRNA from 1 species